rnacentral:lncRNA from 1 species
AUGGAGUGGAAAAAGGAGAAGUGGUUUCACUUUCUUUUUGAAAAAAAAUAAGGGAAAGGACAAGGGAGAACACACUACAAUUCAUAACUUGGUGGUUUUUAUCCUGCUUUCAGGUCACUGGAGUUUGCCCCAUGAAAAAGGAAUUGUGGAUCUGAAGCCUAAAUAACUUCAGCAAUCCACAUGCUUUUUCAUUUACACAACGAAAGGCCCAAGACCCUACUUUUACAGAUGCAGCAAGGUGGAUGCCAAAACAAUGGGACUGUUCUAGGAUGCAUCUCCUCUCCCAAGUGGGAGUCCUUUCAGAGCCCAUCCGAAAUGUGGAAGUGAGCUGAGGUUUAUUUCAUCCAGGUGAUAGAGCUAUUGUCUGUAUCCUCUAGAUCAUGGACAGCCUAUUGAUCCUUCUAACUCUGCAGCAAAGCCUCCAAGUUAAAAAGGAAAAUAAGUCUCUCAACACCAUUAUUUAUUCAGCUGCACACAGUCUUGAACUGCUGAAAUAUAAAAAUGAAACCAAAGCAGUUUCCAUCUAAUCACUUUUUUAAAAAAUGCCAUGCAGAAUAUGUUUAUCACAAUCACCAUCAUCAUCAUCAUCACCACUGCUGUUGCCACUGCAUCACCAUCCAACAUGAACACCACCAACUUAAUCAUGUCCCUGAUUCAACAGUUUUCAACUUGUUUAUACAUAAAAUAAUGACAGAGUGUGAUUGUUUGCCAAAAAAAGUUUUUCUAUGAGCAUCUUAAUAACCAAGUUAUAAUAACCCAGUUAUUUCCAUCAACAAAAAAAAUCUGAAUAGCAUUUGGUUUGUCUGUGUAUCAGCAGAAAUGCUUAUGUGAAUUUAGCAUUUAUUAUAACUGAUGAAGUCCUUUUAACUGGAGUGUAUUGUAAUAAUAUGUCUGCAAAACAUAAUAUGUCUGUGAAAGAUAAUGAAAUAUUUUAGCAUUUGCAAUAAAAAGGUACUGAAGUCUCAGUUCCUUUUCAACUCUAACAAUUAUAUCAACAUCUAUGUCUUACUCUUUUUAAAAAGUGUGAUGUGUGACUUGAUAGAAUACAUGUUAGGAAGUACAGGGCUAAUUAACUUGGUUGAGGUGGUUACAGAAGGCUUCCAUAAGGAAUUAUAUUGUGAUUGAGAUAGGAAGGAAGAGUAGAAAAUGCUUAGGUCAGGAAGGGAGUGGAGGUGGAUGAUGAGAGAUGGAAGUACAUAAGAGAUGAACAGCAUAUGCAAAGGCUGUGGAUAUUACAAAUUCUCACCAAUAUGAAGGAUGGAAGAAAGGUCAGUGUAGAAGGUGAAUAGUAGGUGGGGUGGAGCCACCAUAUAGGCAAUUUAUUUGAACACUAAUGAGUAAUUUAUUCUGUAUUGGUAUGCUUCUCAUAUGCUCACAUUAAAGCUGCUAUAUUAAUACAAUAUUUCUGAGUAAUUUAUGCUUACUAUGUACAUAAUAGACAAUAUUUGCUAAGUACAUGAUAGAGAAUGAGAAGAGUGUAAUGUAUUCACAAAGAUCUAGACUUAUUGUCUGAGCCUUGAAAAUAAUGUCUAUUCAAAAACAUAUGCCUUGAAAAAUAUUUGUGUGUAUAUGUAUGUAAAUGUAUAGAAGACUAUAUAAUAUCUUCCUUCUGAUGUGUUCCAAAGGAUUU